rnacentral:rRNA from 1 species
UACGGAGUGCCCCGAAGCGUUAUCCGGAAUCAUUGGGCGUAAAGGGUGUGUAGGCGGUUGUGUUAGUCUUUUGUUAAAUUCUUCGGCUUAACCGGGGACAUGCGAAGGAAACGGCACAACUAGAGGAUGGCGAGAGGUGAAUGGAACUCAUGGAGUAGGGGUGAAAUCCGUUGAUAUCAUGGGGAACACCGAAAGCGAAGGCAAUUCACUGGCGCACUCCUGACGCUGAGACACGAAAGCGUAGGUAGCGAAUGGG